GGGGAAAAGGGGGGUUACCUAUAAAUGCAGUCGAGCGAAUGGAUUAAGAGCUUGCUCUUAUGAAGUUAGCGGCGGACGGGUGAGUAACACGUGGGUAACCUGCCCAUAAGACUGGGAUAACUCCGGGAAACCGGGGCUAAUACCGGAUAACAUUUUGAACCGCAUGGUUCGAAAUUGAAAGGCGGCUUCGGCUGUCACUUAUGGAUGGACCCGCGUCGCAUUAGCUAGUUGGUGAGGUAACGGCUCACCAAGGCAACGAUGCGUAGCCGACCUGAGAGGGUGAUCGGCCACACUGGGACUGAGACACGGCCCAGACUCCUACGGGAGGCAGCAGUAGGGAAUCUUCCGCAAUGGACGAAAGUCUGACGGAGCAACGCCGCGUGAGUGAUGAAGGCUUUCGGGUCGUAAAACUCUGUUGUUAGGGAAGAACAAGUGCUAGUUGAAUAAGCUGGCACCUUGACGGUACCUAACCAGAAAGCCACGGCUAACUACGUGCCAGCAGCCGCGGUAAUACGUAGGUGGCAAGCGUUAUCCGGAAUUAUUGGGCGUAAAGCGCGCGCAGGUGGUUUCUUAAGUCUGAUGUGAAAGCCCACGGCUCAACCGUGGAGGGUCAUUGGAAACUGGGAGACUUGAGUGCAGAAGAGGAAAGUGGAAUUCCAUGUGUAGCGGUGAAAUGCGUAGAGAUAUGGAGGAACACCAGUGGCGAAGGCGACUUUCUGGUCUGUAACUGACACUGAGGCGCGAAAGCGUGGGGAGCAAACAGGAUUAGAUACCCUUGGUAGUCC
rnacentral:rRNA from 1 species